UGACCUCGGAUCAGGUAGGGAUACCCGCUGAACUUAAGCAUAUCAAUAAGCGGAGGAAAAGAAACCAACCGGGAUUGCCUCAGUAACGGCGAGUGAAGCGGCAAGAGCUCAAAUUUGAAAGCUGGCUCCUUCGGAGUCCGCAUUGUAAUUUGCAGAGGAUGCUUUGGGUGCGGCCCCCGUCUAAGUGCCCUGGAACGGGCCGUCAGAGAGGGUGAGAAUCCCGUCUUGGGCGGGGUGUCCGUGCCCGUGUAAAGCUCCUUCGACGAGUCGAGUUGUUUGGGAAUGCAGCUCUAAAUGGGUGGUAAAUUUCAUCUAAAGCUAAAUACUGGCCGGAGACCGAUAGCGCACAAGUAGAGUGAUCGAAAGAUGAAAAGCACUUUGAAAAGAGAGUUAAACAGCACGUGAAAUUGUUGAAAGGGAAGCGCUUGCGACCAGACUCGCCCGCGGGGUUCAGCCGGCAUUCGUGCCGGUGUACUUCCCCGUGGGCGGGCCAGCGUCGGUUUGGGCGGCCGGUCAAAGGCCCCUGGAAUGUAGUGCCCUCCGGGGCACCUUAUAGCCAGGGGUGCAAUGCGGCCAGCCUGGACCGAGGAACGCGCUUCGGCACGGACGCUGGCAU
rnacentral:rRNA from 1 species